AUGAUCUGGCAUGUAAAGAAUGAAAACUUCAUUCUCGAUUCUAUGAGAAUUUUUAUGAAAGCGUUUCAUUUGCUUCUCUUCAAUGGAAGUUUCAUUUUCCCAGAAUGUAUCCUAAUUUUUGGCCUAAAAUUGGAAUCACGGCCCAAUAGAAUUUUUGGCCUAGUUAGGGUUCAAUGGGUUGUCAAACAUGAAGUGACCAAUAGAAUUUUCACAUGA
rnacentral:rRNA from 1 species